CAUGCAAGUCGAACGAGGAUAUAUCCUUCGGGAUAUAAGCCGAGUGGCGCAAGGGUGAGUAAUGCAUAGAUUACCUGCCUCUAGGAUAAGGACAACUUUGUGAAAACGAAGCUAAUACUUAAUAAUACAAAAGAAAAUAAUUUUCUUUUGUCAAUGGGAGGGUAGCAAUACCUUUUGCCUAGAGAGGGGCUUAUGUCCUAUCAGCUUGUUGGUGGGGUAAUGGCCUACCAAGGCGAAGACGGGUAGCCGGUCUUAGAGGAUGGUCGGCCACACUGGGACUGAGACACUGCCCAGACUUCUACGGAAGGCUGCAGUCGAGAAUCUUUCGCAAUGCCCGAAAGGGUGACGAAGCGACGCCGCGUGAGUGAGGAAGGCCUUAGGGUUGUAAAGCUCUGUCAGGAGUUAAGAAAUAUAAGUGUGUUAAUACCACAUUUAUUUGACGAAGGCUCCAAAGGAAGCCACGGCUAACUCUGUGCCAGUAGCCGCGGUAAUACAGAGGUGGCAAGCGUUGUUCGGAAUUAUUGGGCGUAAAGAGCACGUAGGUGGGUUUGUAAGUCAGAUGUGAAAGCCUUCUGUUCAACGGAAGAAUUGCAUCUGAGACUGCAAGUCUUGAGUGUAGGAGGGGAGAAUGGAACUUCUGGUGGAGCGGUGAAAUGCGUAGAUAUCAGAAGGAACGCCGGCGGCGAAAGCGAUUCUCUGGCCUAUUACUGACGCUCAGUGUGCGAAAGCUAGGGGAGCAAACGGGAUUAGAUACCCCGGUAGUCCUAGCCGUAAACGAUGGGCACUAAGUAGAGGGAAUUACCGAUGUUCUCUCUGCCGUAGCUAACGCAUUAAGUGCCCCGCCUGGGGAGUACGGCCGCAAGGCUAAAACUCAAAAGAAUUGACGGGGGCUCGCACAAGCGGUGGAGCAUGUGGCUUAAUUCGAUGCAACGCGAAAAACCUUACCGGGGCUUGACAUGGUAGAAGUAGGAACCCGAAAGGGUAACGAACGGUAUCCAGUCCAUAGCUAUCACAGGUGUUGCAUGGCUGUCGUCAGCUCGUGUCGUGAGACGUUGGGUUAAGUCCCCUAACGAGCGAAACCCUUGUUUUUAGUUACCAGCGGGUUAUGCCGGGUACUCUAGAAAGACUGCCGUCGUCAAGACGGAGGAAGGUGGGGAUGACGUCAAGUCAUCAUGGCCCUUAUGCCCCGGGCUGCACACGUGCUACAAUGGUCGGUACAAACGGAAGCGAAGCCGAGAGGUGAAGCGAAUCCUAAAAAGCCGAUCUCAGUUCGGAUUGGAGGCUGAAAUUCGCCUUCAUGAAGUUGGAAUCGCUAGUAAUCGCGGAUCAGCAAUGCCGCGGUGAAUAUGUUCCCGAGCCUUGUACACACCGCCCGUCAAGCCACCCAAGCAGGAUGCACCCGAAAACAUUAUAUCUAACCAGGGCAACUUGGAGGAAAGUGUUGAAGGAGUGUUUUGUGAGGAGGACUAAGUCGUAACAAGGUAGUCGUAGGAGAACCUGCGGCUGGAUCACCUCCUUUCU
rnacentral:rRNA from 1 species